CUUCCUUUCAGGGUGCCAAGGUCCCCCAAGCCCCAGAUUCUUCAGGGAAAAAUCCAGCAAAGCCCACUCCUCCUGGAUGAAGUUCCAGCCACAUCUUCAAAGACCACCAAGCCGUGACACAUCCCAGAUAUGUGCAGAGGAGGACAGAUGGGUUAUCCACCUGGCUGGUGCCAUGUUGCCUAUUCCUUUAGUGUACACAUGGUGACAAACGAAAGGGAUGAUGAAGCUUCCAGGUUGAACAGGUAUGACCCCGAGGUAGCCCUUUUCUGUUGGCACAGCUUUUGGCAUUCACCCGUGCAAGCUCCCAGCUCGCUUAUCUAUGUUUGCGGCCUGAUUUUUCAGGCUGCUCUCUGUUAGAAAAGAAAUGAUUUGGGGGCUGCUUUUUGUUAAAAGGAAAGCCUUGCCAAGGACUCCUUUAGCCUCACUAUCUGCCUAAAUAAUUUCUUUCUAGCUCUUG